CAAGGGAACAUUUACGAAUGAAGAAUAUUAUUAAUAAGAAUAUACGAUAUGCUGAUGGCAUUUGGCGAGUGCCAUGGGCAAUAUCAUGCUGCUGCAACGAUACGCCAAAUUGUACCAAACCGAGCAAGAUAUCCAUCGGCUUCUGUUAUACUUCGAGCUGCUCAAAGGCUAUACGAAACUGACAGUGUCCUUCCAAACAAACACGACACUGGGAGAGAUCGCGAGGCAAAAAAUUUGCGGAAUAUGAGACAGUUGUAUAUGCUUUCGAGCAAAAUCCGAAAACGAAUAUUCGGAUCAUUACUCGAGAACACGAUUUAUCGCGAUAUAUGCAACUAUACACGAUAUAUGCAACUAUACAAAGGAUAUUGCAAGAAGAAAAAUUGCACGCAUUUUACUACACACGCGUGCAACAUUUACGAUCUGAAGAUUAUUUUCUAAGAAGAACAUUCUGCGAAAAUUUUUUAAGAAACAUCAAACGAAAUCCCAGAUUUGCUUCUCAUGUGAUAUUCAGUGAUUUCAGUGAUGAAUCACACUAUUUACACAAGAAGGAAUUUUACAUACAACAUAACUUGCUACAAUCUAUGGAUUGCUUAUUAUUGUCAAACAGAACUUCUCAUCGAGUAACGUGUGUCGUGUAUGUAACGCAUUUUUAUCAAAUUAUUUCCAAACCAGCCGAUUAAUCGGUAAUAAUUAAAUGUAAUUUAGUGCUUUGUAAUUUAUUAUUCGUGAAUUUUUCGAUUUAUUGAUCACGUGCGUAAAUCCGUAAAAGUGUUGAUAUGUGUUUAUAAAUAAUUGAUUAUUGCAAUUAUGCAUAUUGUGUUUUUUUUCAUCAAGUAUUCUCAUUCGCCGAAUGAUUAACUGAUAGUGAUUAUUACUGAUAAACCGAUUCAUUCGUAAAGGCCUUAUUUUAUCGAUCGAGUGCGUCAGUAAACGUGUUAAUAAUGUGAUACAAUUUAUAAGAAAAAGAAAAUUUCUAAUUUCUCUAAUUGUAUGUAAUGUGCUAUUUAAUUCGAGUAAUUCUCAGUCGCAAAAUAAUUAAUCGGUAGCGAUUAAUAGUGAUGGACCGAUAGAUUUGGAUUUUUAUAAAUCAAUCGAGUGCGUGAGUAUUGAUAUAAUUCAAGAAAGAAAAACUUUAAUUUAUUCGGUGUGGAUUCGUCACAUGGAAAAGAGUUGCUAUCACGGCAAAUAAAAUUAUCUGUCCGUUUUUUUGCAAGGUACGAAGACAUCGAAUUUUUACAAGUAUCUGAUUUCAGCCGAUUACAGAGGUGAAGCGAGCUCGAUCGUGUAUACAAAGAUGGGUGACCCUCGAAAAAAUUAUGUGACGUUACCGACAUUUACAAUAUAAAAAAGGAUUUCAUUAGUUCCAUUGCACGUUAUGUAUAGAUCUUCUGGAUUCAUGACUGUCUAAUAGAAGUUAACUUUCAUGGUGGACCUCUAAUAGACAUCUAUUAGAGGUUUUUGUUCUGCGUGGGUCGUCACUAUCAAGACUCCAUGAACUCUCUAUUAGCAAUCCACCUAACAUCUAACAGACGUCUAUGGAACAGACAUCUAAUAGAGGUCUCAUAGACUUCCACAAAUCGGAAUUGUGAAUUUCUUGUGGACGUCUACUGGAAGUCUAAUGGCCGUCUAAUGAAUAUCCAUGACCGACGUCUAAUGGAUGUCCACUGAAGGAUUUUGUUCUAUCUGCACGCUUACACUCUUGCACUAGUUCAGUUCUAGUGUAGCCCUAGUGCGGGAAUAAAAAACAAAGUCCUAGAAUAAGCCUUCAAUAUACUAAACUAUAGAAAACGGCUCAGCGAAGAAAAGGAUGGGCAUACUAAAGUUGGAAUUUUUAUCUCUUUUCUACAGUGUACUUAUUGGUUAACCUUAUGUAAAUGAGACAUCUCCACUCCUCGAAGGCUCACUCCAAUAUACUAUGAGAGCUCAAUGAGUGGGAAAGACUGACAUUUCAGUAGAACCAACAUGACUUCUGUUUGUCGAAUAUAAACAUAUAUGUAUUCUUCAGAGGUUAUAUUUGUUUAUAUUA